rnacentral:misc_RNA from 1 species
CUUGGAACCGAUCUUAGAAACGGCGACUGGCACGGACGGGAGGAGUUCGCGGACAAGGAAGUUUCAGCAGGCAGAGAGGCACCGCGGCCACCAUGGGGAACGAGCCGGAGCUGCGCGCGCGUGCAAGAAAAUCGCUCGGCAGAAAGGACGGACAGGGAGCUCCAAGCACCGAACUGCAGCCGGAACCAGAGGCACUGCGAGCAGGUAGACAUGGGAGGGACCUCGCUGGCUGAGCGAGCUGGAAGAGAGAAGCAAGGGGAGGGCGCAGGGAAAGAAGAAGCGCUCGGCGCAGGGAGCUGGGCGCCAGAGCAGGAGGCUUCAGGGUGCGGCGCAGGGACACGCGCGGUCAAGCGAACUUGAGUUGGAGCCAGGGAGCAGGAAAUCAGGGCGACGGCGCGUGCACAGAGAAGCGACCGCGCCAUGGGCGUUCGCGGGCGGACGAACUAAGAAGCUUGAGGGAGCUCGGCGAGCUGCACGGGAGGAGCACGCAGGGAGGUACGCCGGCGAGGGAGCAGGAGAGAGAAGG